rnacentral:rRNA from 1 species
UCGACGAUGAAUCUUCUAGCUUGCUAGAAGUGGAUUAGUGGCGCACGGGUGAGUAAUGCAUAGGUUAUGUGCCCUUUAGUCUGGGAUAGCCACUGGAAACGGUGAUUAAUACUGGAUACUCCCUACGGGGGAAAGUUUUUCGCUAAAGGAUCAGCCUAUGUCCUAUCAGCUUGUUGGUGAGGUAAUGGCUCACCAAGGCUAUGACGGGUAUCCGGCCUGAGAGGGUGAUCGGACACACUGGAACUGAGACACGGUCCAGACUCCUACGGGAGGCAGCAGUAGGGAAUAUUGCUCAAUGGGGGAAACCCUGAAGCAGCAACGCCGCGUGGAGGAUGAAGGUUUUAGGAUUGUAAACUCCUUUUGUUAGAGAAGAUUAUGACGGUAUCUAACGAAUAAGCACCGGCUAACUCCGUGCCAGCAGCCGCGGUAAUACGGAGGGUGCAAGCGUUACUCGGAAUCACUGGGCGUAAAGAGUGCGUAGGCGGGGUAAUAAGUCAGAUGUGAAAUCCUGUAGCUUAACUACAGAACUGCAUUUGAAACUGUUACUCUGGAGUGUGGGAGAGGUAGGUGGAAUUCUUGGUGUAGGGGUAAAAUCCGUAGAGAUCAAGAGGAAUACUCAUUGCGAAGGCGACCUGCUGGAACAUUACUGACGCUGAUGCACGAAAGCGUGGGGAGCAAACAGGAUUAGAUACCCUGGUAGUCCACGCCCUAAACGAUGGAUGCUAGUUGUUGCCUUGCUUGUCAGGGCAGUAAUGCAGCUAACGCAUUAAGCAUCCCGCCUGGGGAGUACGGUCGCAAGAUUAAAACUCAAAGGAAUAGACGGGGACCCGCACAAGCGGUGGAGCAUGUGGUUUAAUUCGAAGAUACGCGAAGAACCUUACCUAGGCUUGAC